AGACUUCAUUUCCCAGCCUCCAUUGCGUGAGGGUCCCGAAGCGGAGCCCACGGGCGCGAUGCUGUGCACUCUGGGCUUUGUAGUCCGUUCGCGUUGAGCGCGCUCUGAGCGGGUUCGCACUCUCCAGCUGGCAGCGGGGGGCCCUAGACAGACUUCAAAUGCUUGGCUGGUGGUGGGGUUAGCCUUCAACUCCCUCCACCCAAAAGCCUGCAGGGCGGGUCUUGCCCUGGCCUAUCUUUAGCUUCCUCAGGGUCUGCGUGGGAAGUUUGGUGGAAACCUCAAAAAGAGUUGACUGCGUUUUGAGCGGCCAGCCUGGGAACUUUCCAGGUUCCUUGUCCUCAGGGUCUUCGCUCCUCAGGGAAAGGGCAAGCCAGUCAUCCCACUGUACUCGGGAAGGAUGUACCGGGCAUCAAUUUACGAAGCCAAGAGAUCUUGAAAAGUGAGACUAUUUGCAGAGAUCGAGGAAACGAUCAAGGGCUUUUCACAAUAGUCAGAUGGGCUGAUUUGGCGAGGUUCUGCCAAUCCUGUCUGGGACUGCCAUUGCUGAAGCUUCUUUAGGUAGAGCUAGCAUGUGAAACACAAGAGGGGAAGCGAGAUACCUUUUGAAGAAAAGCUCAACAGUUUUGCAGAAAAGACUCCCAAAUCCUGACAUUUGACUGUUCUCUGAUGGAGAGCUGGCCUUGGUUUGAUUACGCUUCAGUAAAGCCAAACAACAAACAACAAGCAGUCAUCAGAACCCUCUCCCUUACACAGAGCUUGCCCUAAACACUGAAGGACUUUUGUCAUGCCCACGUACUGUGCUUUGCAGAAAGCACCCAACUUGAAAGACACAAAGAGAAUACAUCAACAGAUAAAAAGAAUUUGGAGAAGAGUAGAGACAUUACAGGGAACAGAAAAGAUGUUCUAAUUAUGACUAACAUCAUCAAAGAGAAAAGACAUUGUAUCAUCAAAACAGAAACUGCUUUGAAUGGAGAUGCUAUAGCAACAGAGAACAAUGAGAAAACAAAAAAUGUGGAAAUUAAAAAUAUGUCAGAUGAAAUUUAAAAUUCAAAAGAAGCAUGGAGAGAUAAAGAUGAGGAAAUUUCUUUGAAGUAUCUUUUUAAAAGAAGGAUAUAGGAAGAGAUCACAGGAGAUUAGAAAAUUUCAAGAUCAAUAUAGAAGGUACACAAACUGACUGCUGUUAAUUCUACAAGGGCCAUAUAUAAACUGAGGGAAGGAUAUUAUUAAGGAAAUAGUGAAAGAAAUGUUUCCAGAGCUGAGAGAAAUGAACCUCCAGUUUCAUUCUAAGACAUAUGAUAGUGAAAUGAUAAUGAAAAUGUUAUAUCCUAUAAAUAAUGACAAAAUUCUAGAAACUUAUCAAGAGAUAUAGGCUUCUCAACAAAUGACAAUGGAGCAAUUCCUUUGAAAUUAUUUCGGAAAAUGAUCACCAAUUUAGAACUCCAAGAUGUGUCAUAGCAGCAGUCAGCUGUGUGAAUUGAUUUUCAGGACUGCAAAAUCACAUAACAUUGACCUCCAAUAAACCCCUCUCAGAAUACUGCUACAAGAUAGGCUUCUUUAUAACAAAGAGGAGGAGCCUAGAUGGAGAUAUAUGCCUAUAAUUUCAAUACUGGGUGA